CUUCUCUCUAACGGUUCAGUAAUAUUUCUUCAAGGCACUGAUGAAUAUGCCUAUGAUGGAGAGACUUUGACCUUUAACCUCUCUAUGCUCUGGAAACCUUUAGUCCUUGAUCAUGGCUUCAUCUGGAACAGAGAAUCAGUCUGGAGAGGAAAUGUGUGGAAACGUUAACCAGCUUCACUGACCUUCAACAAGAGGGAAAAUUCAUCACAGCAUCUCGUCCUGAGGUUUACUCUUCUGUAAAAGCGUCUGGAUCAUUAGGCCAGCAGGUUCUGGUGUGUUUGGCCACAGGCUUCUACCCUAAACAUGCGCAGAUGGAGAUCAGACGCGAUCAGACGCCGUUACCUGAUGAGCAGCUGAACUCGCACGGAAUCAGACCAAACACAGACAGAUCCUUUCAGCUGAUGAAGAGCCUGCAGAUCCUGCCGUCUGAUAGAUCUCACUUAUCAGUGUGUGGUGAAGCACCAGACUCUGACUGAACCACUAUCAGCUGGGGACCAGAAACACAUGCAGGGUUGGCUGCUGCUUUAAAUGAUUCUUCAGAUGAUGAAAACGCCACAGAUGACAGUCUGGAAGAGGUUCAGACUGAGGAGCUUCAUGAAACUCAAAGUCUUUGUGAGGCUAAAGAGACUCCAGCAGCAGCUCGAGGUCAGAACAUCUGAAUUCAUCAUGUGCUGCAAUGACUUUUCUAGGCAUGGAGAGAGAAGACACCAAUCAGAACACUGUUUCCCAGAAUGCACUGUUGUUAUCA